rnacentral:misc_RNA from 1 species
AAAGUCGUAACAAGGUUUCCGUAGGUGAACCUGCGGAAGGAUCAUUACCGAGAUGUGUUUUACACGCUCCACCCUAUGUUUAUGACCUGUUGCCUCGGUGGGACUCGUAUUGUCGAGCAGACGAGACGAUGCCCUCUUUUUGUUCAUUUAGAAACUUUUGCUGUGCAUACUCUGCAUGCUGCAUAUACUGUAUGCUGUGUGUGUGCGGUAACAAUGAAGCAAGGAACAAAAAGAGGGUCUGCCUGCCGAGAUUUACAACUUUGAUUACUUGCAGUCUGAGAAACUUGAACAAAUCAAUCAAAACUUUCAACAACGGAUCUCUUGGUUCUG